rnacentral:rRNA from 1 species
AACGAACGCUGGCGGCAUGCCUAACACAUGCAAGUCGAACGAGACCUUCGGGUCUAGUGGCGCACGGGUGCGUAACGCGUGGGAAUCUGCCCUUCGGUUGGGAAUAACUGAGAGAAAUUUCAGCUAAUACCUUAUAAUGUCUUCGGACCAAAGAUUUAUCGCCGAGGGAUGAGCCCGCGUAGGAUUAGGUAGUUGGUGGGGUAAUGGCCUACCAAGCCGACGAUCCUUAGCUGGUCUGAGAGGAUGAUCAGCCACACUGGGACUGAGGCACGGCCCAGACUCCUACGGGAGGCAGCAGUGGGGAAUAUUGGACAAUGGGCGAAAGCCUGAUCCAGCAAUGCCGCGUGAGUGAUGAAGGCCUUAGGGUUGUAAAGCUCUUUUACCCGGGAUGAUAAUGACAGUACCGGGAGAAUAAGCGCCGGCUAACUCCGUG